rnacentral:rRNA from 1 species
GACGGGGGGGGCAAGUGUUCUUCGGAAUGACUGGGCGUAAAGGGCACGUAGGCGGUGAAUCGGGUUGAAAGUGAAAGUCGCCAAAAAGUGGCGGAAUGCUCUCGAAACCAAUUCACUUGAGUGAGACAGAGGAGAGUGGAAUUUCGUGUGUAGGGGUGAAAUCCGUAGAUCUACGAAGGAACGCCAAAAGCGAAGGCAGCUCGCUGGGACGUUACUGACGCUGAGACGCGAAAGCGUGGGGAGCAAACAGG